UAGCUCAGUUGGUAGAGCAGUUGACUUUUAAUCAAUUGGUCGCAGGUUCGAAUCCUGCACGACCCACCAAUACGGCCCGAAGGGCGAGGCGAAGCCGAGUCAUCCUGCACGACCCACCA
rnacentral:sRNA from 1 species